rnacentral:rRNA from 1 species
UACGUAGGGUGCGAGCGUUGUCCGGAAUUAUUGGGCGUAAAGAGCUUGUAGGCGGUCUGUCGCGUCUGCUGUGAAAAUCCGGGGCUCAACCCCGGACUUGCAGUGGGUACGGGCAGACUAGAGUGUGGUAGGGGAGACUGGAAUUCCUGGUGUAGCGGUGAAAUGCGCAGAUAUCAGGAGGAACACCGAUGGCGAAGGCAGGUCUCUGGG